rnacentral:rRNA from 1 species
AUAUCAAUAAGGAGAAAAAAUU